GCUGGGCAUGGUGGUGCAUGCAUGUAAUCCCAGGUACUCAGGAGGCUGAGGCAGGAGGAUUUUUCAGGCUAGCCUCUGCAAUUUAGUGAGACCUUAAGCAACUUAGCAAGACCCUGUCUUAA
rnacentral:sRNA from 1 species